rnacentral:ncRNA from 1 species
CUCGCACUGUGGUGGAUUCUGUAACAACUCACCUGCCGAAUCGACUAGCCCUGAAAAUGGAUAGCGUUUGAGCUCCAGGCCCAUACCUGACCGUCUCAAUUACGCACUUUUUUUUCGGAAAAGGUGUAAUGAACGUUGAGACGGGUAGGAAGGUCGCGACAGUGUUGCUUUGAAGAGUUUUGAGCGUGAGCUCGCUCGGAGCCGCUGUUGGUGCAGAUCUUGGUGGUAGUAGCAAAUAUUCAAGUGAGAACCUUGAAGGCUGAAGUGGAGCAAGGUUCCAUGUGAACAGCAGUUGGACAUGGGUCAGUCGAUCCUAAGAAAACGGCGAAAGCUUGUUCGAAUUUGCGACAUGAAUUGUAAGACUGAAUAAUUAUUUGUGUGUGUGUUGUGGUGGAGGCGAUUGUGUCGUCACCAGUUGUUGUUGUGUGCAGUUGUCGUAUGUUUUCGAAAGGGAAUCCGGUUGAUAUUCCGGAACCGAGUAACGGAGACAAAGAGUAGCGCUUUAAUCUCUCUGUGGGGUUGGCGUUCAACUCAAUCGCGCGGUAACGCAAGCGAACUCGGAAAAUGACCGUCGUGAGUUUCGAAAAGAGUUUUCUUUUCUUUUUAAGGGACGCAUUCCCUGGAACCGGGUUGUCCGGAGAUAGGGAUUCUGGUAUCCAUAAAACGCCGACUUUUUCACGGUGUUCGGAGCGCUCUCGUCGGUACGUGAAAAUCCGAGCGACGCCUGGUAAAUCUCGUACUUGGUCGUACUGAUAUCCGCAGCACGUCUCCAAGGUGAAUAGCCUCUGGCCGAUAGAAUAAUGUAGGUA